rnacentral:lncRNA from 7 species
UCUCUGCUCUUAGCUUUGCCUUUCUUCAAUUGAGAAUGAGAUGGAGAGUCAUCGUAACUUAUAACACUGCUGUAUCAGAACUCACACCACAUCGAAGUAUAAAAGCUGUCACUUAACAUGAGUCAUUCUGUGUGUGCAUCUCGUGAGUAAACAACUGAAUGAGAAAUGCCAAAGUCUGCAAGUUAUCUCAGCACUUCAGUUGAGUUCAAGGACAGAAGCUGGUGUGUAAAGGUGCAAAGCCACUCUUUUGGAUGAAUGACCAUCAUCUCCUGGUGAUUAUCUUUCAAAAUCUAGGCGCAGAUGUCCUAAUGUGUUUUAAUACCACCUCCAAAUACAUACCUGCGGUUGGUUUGGGUACAACUAAUGUUCGUUGCUGAAUCCUGUAUGGACCAGAGCACCCAGAAAACAGACAACCCUGAGAUGUCAGGACUCUGAACUUCUGUAAAUAUAAGUGAGGUGCAGAUGCUGCUGUCUAAAUAGCCUUCAGGGAGAAUUUCCUUUGUGGGACACAGACAUGACAGUGGAAAUAGCUAGAGCCUGCUGUAGGUUGGUGUUGGAGCAAAUGGGGAAAGCUGUUGCCAAGGAGGAAUAGGGAGAAGUACUUGAGCAGAAUGCAGACGGAGUGGAAACUCUCCGUGAGCCAAAGCAAUUUCUCACCAGUUUCCUCAAAGCUGCAAGAAUGUACCAGAAAGAUCCAUCAGCACAACUCAUAUAGUCCUUCUAGGGUGCAGCAUUUUGCAACGGAGAAUCAAGUGUCUAAGAUAGGUACUAGUGGAUGUCACUGUAUGAAGAAAGAAAAGGGGGAUGCCACGCUGCUCCUGUAGAUAUUCACUUGAAUUGUGAAAUGAGGCAGGCAAGGAUUCCCAAGUUAAAAUCAGUAUUGGAACUUGACCCACUGAUUCAGACACAAGACAAACAUCUUACGGUUCAGAAAAAAAGGGAGUUCGUCAGCCUGUCUUUCAGAAGACUAUCAGGGCCUCUUGAUAAUUAAACUGUCAACAUUUCCACGAUGAAAAGCUGCAUUGAAAAAUCAAUGAUCAGUUGAUAUUGCUGCACACAGGGAAGACAGAAGCCUUCGACAGGUCUGCAGAACCAAGCUGUGAAUGCCUUGUGCCACCUCGCUGGGAAAAGCGCUGCGAGACUGAACCACCAUCCCUCAGUUCUCAUCCUUUAAUCUUACGCCUGCCUACAGAAUGGACUCCCAGUCCUGCAGUAUGAACAUCAAAACUCAGAGAGGCUGCUUUGGCUGAGACUCGUUCUUCCCUUGGGAGACUCAGCUGAGACUACGUGAUUUAUUUUUGAAGAAUGGAAGUCAGCUUUUUUUUGAAAACCAAUUGUCAGGCUUGAGGUCCGUCAGAGACAGGAGUGGUCUUUGCCUCUGGCUGGGUGCAUGAACACUGCUACCAACUAUCAAGAAAAAAAAUGGACAAAAUUCGCUAUCAGGAACCAAAGGAAAACGGAAUGAGGAGGAAGCGUGAAGGAGAUGACCACCUUCCAUUACUAAAUUACUGAUUUAUAAGGAGAAGCAUUAUGAAAGUAAAAAAAAAUAAGCAUGUAUCACACACAUUCCUAAAAUUUUCUGAAACAUAAGCUGAUGUUAAUUAAAAUGAAAGGUGUAU